UACGUAGGGUGCGAGCGUUAAUCGGAAUUACUGGGCGUAAAGCGCGCGCAGGCGGCUCGGAAAGUCGGGUGUGAAACUCGGGGCUCAACCCCGGGCGUGCAUCCGAUACUGCCGGGCUUGAGGCAGGUAGGGGAGAGUCGGGAAUUCCUGGUGGUAGCGGUGGAAUGCGCAGAUAUCGGGGAGGAACACCUAUGGCGAAGGCAGCUCGCUGGGACGUUACUGACGCUGAGACGCGAAAGCGUGGGGAGCGAACAGG
rnacentral:rRNA from 1 species